rnacentral:rRNA from 1 species
CCUACGGGAGGCAGCAGUAAGGAAUCUUCCACAAUGGACGAAAGUCUGAUGGAGCAACGCCGCGUGCAGGAUGAAGGCUUUCGGGUCGUAAACUGCUUUUAUAUGGGAAGAUUAUGACGGUACCAUAUGAAUAAGGACCGGCUAACUACGUGCCAGCAGCCGCGGUAAUACGUAGGGUCCAAGCGAUAUCCGGAAUUACUGGGCGUAAAGCGUGUGUAGGUGGAUUAAUAAGUGUGAUGCGAAAUCCGGCGGCUCAACCGUUUGGACUGUGUCGCAUACUGUUAGUCUAGAGGACGGCAGAGGUAAGUGGAAUUACGGGUGUAGCAGUGAAAUGCGUAGAUAUCCGUAGGAACACCAAUGGCGAAGGCAGCUUACUGGGCCACACCUGACACUGAGACACGAAAGCGUGGGGAGCGAACAGGAUUAGAUACCCUGGUAGUCCACGCCGUAAACGAUGCAUACUAUUAGUAUGGGGUAUCGACCCCCUGUGCUGAGAAGCUAACGCGAUAAGUAUGCCGCCUGGGGAGUACGAGCGCAAGCUAAAACUCAAAUGAAUUGACGG